UACAGAGGUCUCAAGCGUUGUUCGGAUUCAUUGGGCGUAAAGGGCGCGUAGGCGGCGCGACAAGUCACCUGUGAAACCUCUGGGCUUAACCCAGAGCCUGCAGGCGAAACUGUCGUGCUGGAGUAUGGGAGAGGUGCGUGGAAUUCCCGGUGUAGUGGUGAAAUGCGUAGAUAUCGGGAGGAACACCAGUGGCGAAGGCGACUAUCUGGGCUGCAACUGACGCUGAGGCGCGAAGGCUAGGGUAGCAAACAGG
rnacentral:rRNA from 1 species